GAUCCCUCAAAGAUGAUGAGGUUAAUAGGUUCGAGGUGGAAGCAUGGUGACAUGUGGAGCUGACGAAUACUAAUCGAUCGAAGACUUAAUCAAA
rnacentral:rRNA from 1 species